UACGUAGGGGGCUAGCGUUGUCCGGAAUCAUUGGGCGUAAAGAGCGUGUAGGCGGUCCGGUAAGUCCGCUGUGAAAGUCGGGGGCUCAACCCUCGAAUGCCGGUGGAUACUGUCGGGCUAGAGUGCGGAAGAGGCGAGUGGAAUUCCUGGUGUAGCGGUGAAAUGCGCAGAUAUCAGGAGGAACACCGAUGGCGAAGGCAGGUCUCUGGGCAUUAACUGACGCUGAGGAGCGAAAGCAUGGGGAGCGAACAGG
rnacentral:rRNA from 1 species